UACGAAGGGUGCAAACGUUGCUCGGAAUUAUUGGGCGUAAAGCGCACGUAGGCGGCUUUUCAAGUCCCAUGUGAAAGCCCACGGCUUAACCGUGGAAGUGCAUGGGAAACUGGAAGCUUGAGUACUUAAGAGGAUCGCGGAAUUCCCGGUGUAGAGGUGAAAUUCGUAGAUAUCGGGAGGAACACCAGUGGCGAAGGCGGCGUCUGGGAAGAUACUGACGCUGAGGUGCGAAAAGCGUGGGGGAGCAAACAGG
rnacentral:rRNA from 1 species